GAAAUGCGAUAAGUAAUGUGAAUUGCAGAAUUCAGUGAAUCAUCGAACCUUUGAACGCACCUUGCGCCCCUUGGUAUUCCGAGGGGCAUGCCUGUUUGAGUGUCAUGUAAUUCUCAAUCCUCUUCUUCUUAAUUGAAGAAGAGGCUUGGACUUGGAGGCUUUAUAUAUGCUGGUACUGUCUGUAUUGGCUCCUCUCAAAUGUAUUAGCUGGAUUGUAGUUUGCAUUGUUCAGUGUGGUAAUAGUUCUCUAUCUAUAUUCACUACAGUGCUUGCUUGGACUGUCCGCUUCCAAUAGUCCACCUAUGUGUUGGACAGGUACUCUGUUGCCUUAAACCACUUGACCCUCUUUGACCUCAAAUCAGGUAGGACUACCCGCUGAACUUAA
rnacentral:rRNA from 1 species